UGGGGGGAGAGCUCCGAGCUCCGCCGCGCCCCCCGAGCAUCCCCGAGCGCCUCCAGCGCUGCCGUGCCCGGCUCUGCCCGCACCGACCCCAAAGCGGGGUCCCAAAGGACACCCAGGGGGGCAGAGCCCAGCCCAGCCCGGCUGGAAAUGCUGCUCGACUCGGAGCUGAUGCACAGAGACCCCUCCACGAGCUCUGUCCCCAAAGGGAUUUCGGAUCUCCAGCGGUCAGUCCAGCUCAGGCCGCGUUUAGGAGCUGCCGGGAAAACCAAAAGGGAAGAAGUGACCGGCCGAGAACUUUUUGUGCUUGUUUGGUUGUUGUUCCUUUUGCAGCGAGGUGGAGGAAUUGCGGCCACCACGUGGGAAAUGCCGAGCUUGAUGUCCUGCAGUGCCUUCCCCUCCUGCUCCUCAGGUUCCGUGCCAGCACGAGCAUAUUUGUGUUUUUUUUAUCAAUACCAUCUCCUAAGAUCCAACACAUCUGAGAAGUGGAAGUUGAAGUUGGAUACUCAGCCAGAAAUUCCCUGGGGGAAAUCCAGGAUCAUCGAUCUUAGCACAGAUCCAGCACCCCCAGAACCUUGGGAAUAGCCUGAGAGAAUUCAGCAAUGAGACACCAGAGGGAGAAAAUCAGCAGAAUCCCCAGUUUUAUUUACAUAAACCCAGCUGAAAGAUGCUAACAGGGAGAAAGAUGUUCUGAUUGUUCUGAAAAUCUUGAGAUCCACAAGAAAAAAACCACAAACCCAAAAGUGAUUAAUGUGAGAAUCCAAACUAGGAGUGAGCAGAACUCACAGGGAUGGAAACCCCAAGAAGAGUUUGGCAAAAAUCUGCUCACACAGGAUAAAAAAAAAAUCUAUUUAAUCCAUCCAGACUUUCAUAGAAAGUCCAAAAAGCCAGAGAAGUGCUGGCAAAACACAACCACUGUGUUGGGAAAGGAGGAAUCUGCAUUUUAAAGCCACCUCUGCCCACCCUGAGGAAGUUUGGGGAAUAUCCCAAAUUCUGCCAGCAGAAAUUCUCAUUCCUCGUGGUCUGUGCUCACAACUCCAGACCUUGGAAAGAAAUCUUUCAGCACUGAUUCUUCCCCAGUCUCCAGCACACAAAUAUUUUAUAUUCCACCUUACUCUUAAAGGAAAACCCCAUUCUUUGCUUUAAAUUAAAUAUUUCUCUUGAAAUUUCUUUUGAUACAGAAAAUAAGGUGGGCCUUGUGUUUAGCCAGUUUUACACCUACAGAUAAAUAUCUUUGUAUGUAUAAAUGUGUAUCUCAAAGGCAAGAAUCCCAUAAAAUUCUGUGUAAACUCAGCUUCAUUUGGGAUUUCAAUGCUAAGGGAGCACAUGGAGAAGAAUUAUUUCUAUAAAUCAUCUAUUUUUAAAGUAACAGGCAAGUUAAAUGAGAAGUGACAUGUCAAGAGUUCUAAUUAAUCCACAAAAAGGACUCUAAAUCCCCACAUUCAAACAAAACAAAGGGGUUUUUCUGCCUUUCUAUGAAAUAACAACCAAGGGCUCUGGGUAGGAUUGAAUAAAUUGAAAGUGGAAAACAUUUCCAAACAAUUCCUUAAACAUUUUCACCUCAGCACUGAGCAGAUUCAAACCCUGAGCACUGGGCUUGCCUGGAUUGGGUUUGAAGGGAUCAAGCAAAGCAGUUCCUGCAGAACCAUCUCCUGUAAACAUCCCCAUGGAAACAGAGAUGGGAUCAGACAUGAGGAGGAGCAGAAAUCUUCAAAUCCAGUCCCCAGGAAUAAACUGGGACAGGAGUGCUGCUCCAACUCCCCAUCCUGAGCUCCACCCAAUUCCUGCUCUGUUCUGAACAGAUCCAAACCAGCCCAGCUGGGUGAUUGUGGGUUUUUAACCAUGAGGAUGAUGCUGUGACCCAUUUGGACAGAGGCCAGGACAGGACUGAGCUGGCAGAGCUGAGUUUCACCACAAAGCCAAGCCCAGCUCCCAGGAGUGCAGAGGUGUAAGGUUUCUUUGAGGGCCUGACUCAGAGCUCAGCAUUUGCAGCUGCCAAGAAAAAAAUUCCAGUGUGGACUGGCAGUUUUCAGGUGUGGAAGCUGAAAUUUUUCCCUUGAAUGUGAUUUUUAUGUUCCCUGAAAGGUUGAGCAGCACCACAGGAGUCACCACAACACUGAGGGGUGACAUGAAAAAUCCUGGUACCAAAUUCCUGCAUGUGCAAAACAAAAUCAGGGAAAAUGAGGUGAGUGCUGUCAGUGACAGAAUGAGAGAAGCACAAACAUGAAAAAUCCUGGUACAAAUUCCUGCACGUGCAAAACAAAAUCAGGGAAAAUGAGGUGAGUGCUGUCAGUGACAGAAUGAGAGAAGGAGCACAAACAUGAAAAAUCCUGACACCAAAUUCCUGCCUGUGCAAAACAAAUUCAGGGAAAAUGAGGUGAGUCCUGUCAGUGACAGAAUGAGAGAAGGAGCACAAACAUGAAAAAUCCUGGUACCAAAUUCCUGCAUGUGCAAAACAAAUUAAAGUGAAAAUGAGGUGAGUCCUGCCAGUGACAAACACUUCCAAGGUGAUGUUUACGAAGUUUUUAAGGAGGUUUUAAAGAGCUUUGCUCCAAAUCAUUCACAGGUGCCUUUAAAAAAAACCAAACUUUCAAAAUUUCUCUUGCCUGAAAGCAACUCCACUUCACCAGCCCCACUCUGCAAGUGCAAUAAUUUGUUUUCACUUUUAUCAGCCUGACCAGACAGAGCUCUGAGCUUUUGCUUUAUUUGUAUUCACACCCCCAUUCUCUGGGCUUUGAGUUGUGUUUGCUUUUGUUGUAAGGGAGGAAAAUGCUUCCAUUCAAAACUACUUUGGUUUAAAAAAUUCAAUUUUAAACUAUUUCUGUUGACUGGAGUUUGUCCCAAGUUAAAGCCUCAUUCCUCACACAAAUAUUUCAUGUUUUACCUCAAAAAGAACAACCACACUUCCUCUGCUUCUAUUUUAAAACCAGACAAGCUUACAAGUUUUUUUUUUAAAUUUUUAUUGGAUGCUUCCAACUUUAUAGCUAAUAAUAUACAGAUACUCAGUUUUUUCAUUGUUCCAUUCACAUCCUCACAGAGUUCAGCCAUUCUGUCACAUUAAAAUAAAAAAAAAAAGCACAACUGAAAUAAAAUAAAUCCAUAAGCUGGAAAAAUACAUUAUAAACUUAUAUUCAAGAAACAUUCUCUUUAUAAUUAAAAACCUACUUGUAAUAAUUAAAGUAGGAUUUAAAGAAAAAACUUGAUUUUAAUUUUUAAAUAGGUGGCCUUUGUGUAUACUUUUAAUCAUUUUAUAUGUACAAGCCCAACCAGUAUCUCUGCCUACCUGUGACAGAAUACCUGAAAAAAAAAAAAAAACAAAACACUGAAAAGGAGUUUUUUAACAAACAAACAAACAAA